UACGUAGGGUGCAAGCGUUGUCCGGAAUUAUUGGGCGUAAAGAGCUCGUAGGCGGUUUGUCGCGUCUGCUGUGAAAACGCGAGGCUCAACCUCGCGCCUGCAGUGGGUACGGGCAGACUGGAGUGCGGUAGGGGAGAUUGGAAUUCCUGGUGUAGCGGUGGAAUGCGUAGAGAUCCGGAAGAACCGACCGGUGGCGAAGGCGGUCUGCUGGGCCAAGACUGACGCUGAGGCGCGACAGCGUGGGGAGCAAACAGG
rnacentral:rRNA from 1 species